rnacentral:rRNA from 1 species
UACGGAGGGUGCAAGCGUUGUUCGGAAUCACUGGGCGUAAAGAGCGUGUAGGCGGCCACUUAAGUCCUGCGUGAAAUCUUGCGGCUCAACCGCAAGCGGUCGUGGGAAACUGGGUGGCUAGAGUGCGGGAGAGGAGAGUGGAAUUCCUGGUGUAGCGGUGGAAUGCGCAGAUAUCAGGAAGAACACCCGUGGCGAAGGCGGCUCUCUGGAACGCAACUGACGCUGAGACGCGAAAGCGUGGGGAGCAAACAGG